GGGUUGUGGCUCAGUGGUAGAGCGCUUGCCUAGCAUGUGUGAGGCACUGGGUUCGAAUCUCAGCUCCA
rnacentral:tRNA from 1 species